rnacentral:rRNA from 1 species
AUGCUAGUGUGGAAUGUAAGGGGGUUAAACAACCCGACACGGAGAACGGUGGUGCGGAAGCUAGUGGGACAGCACAAUGUAUCCUUGUUAUGUAUCCAAGAAUCAAAAUUAGCAGUGGUGGAUCUAGGGAUUGUGAGAGAAUGCGGGGGUGCAGAAUUCAUUUCCUUCGCGUAAGCCCCAGCAAGCGGCACAAGGGGAGGCAUCAUUAUGGCUUGGAAGAACUAA